UUACAACGGAGAGUUUGAUCCUGGCUCAGGACGAACGCUGGCGGCGUGCUUAACACAUGCAAGUCAAGGAGAAAGUUUCUUUCGGGAAAUGAUUAAACUGGCGCACGGGUGAGUAAUAUAUAAGCAAUCUACCUAUGGGUAUGGAAUAACGUCGAGAAAUCGGCGCUAAUACCGUAUAACGCAGCGGCACCGCAUGGUGAUGUUGUUAAAGUUCUUGAAACGCCUGUAGAUGAGCUUGUAUCUGAUUAGUUAGUUGGUGAGGUAAUGGCUCACCAAGACUUCGAUCAGUAGCUGGUCUGAGAGGAUGAUCAGCCACAUUGGAACUGAGACACGGUCCAGACUCCUACGGGAGGCAGCAGUGAGGAAUAUUGGGCAAUGGG
rnacentral:rRNA from 1 species